rnacentral:tRNA from 1 species
GACUCAAGAGCUCAGCUGGCUAGAGUGCCAGUCUAGUAAACUGAAGGUCGAGUGUUUGAAUUCCUCUUGAUCCU